rnacentral:rRNA from 1 species
GGAGAGGGAGCCCGAAGAAACGGCUACCACUUCCAAGGAAGGCAGCAGGCGCGCAACUUACCCUAAUCUCGAUUCGAGGAGGUAGUGACAAGAAAUACCGAUGCGGGACCCUACGGGGUGCCGCGUUCGGAAUGAGUACGAUUCGAACCACCUAACGAGGAACGAUCGGAGGGCAAGUCUGGUGCCAGCAGCCGCGGUAAUUCCAGCUCCAAUAGCGUACGUUAAAGUUGCUGCAGUUAAAAAGCUCGUAGUUGAACGUUCGGGUUCCGCGGGACGGGGCCGCCCCGCGAGGGACGGCGCCGCCCCGGGGCUCGUGAUAUCUCAUCUCGCCGCCCGUCGCGAGGCGGACGGAGGGAUGGAUGAGGUUACCUGGAAAAAAUCGGGGCGAUCUAGGCGGGCGAACCUCGCCAACGAACGAUCGGAC